rnacentral:other from 1 species
GUAAAUCUGCGGUGUACGGAGUUCGGAUUGAUCGUAAUCCACAUUAAUAAAUAGGGAGCGUGUAUUCGGGGCGAUAGGCAAGGUCUGUAUUUAUACGGAAAGUCCGAAGCGUUCAGAUGCCGCACCCACCUGCUGAAAGCGGGUUAGCUUUUAUCCGAAAUGCGGCACAGGCGGAUUUAUU